AGUCACCAUAGAGCGGUGGUUUCUCUGUGCAGAGCAGCUAGAAGUCAGACGUCACUUCCGGCUUCCUGUGCACACGCGUCUUACUGCCUGGAGGCUCAAACACCAUAGAAGUUGGCGGACUCGAGGCGCAGAGCGGCUACAUGCAAAUUACGGAUGCGCUGAGCCAAUCGGCGGCCGCGCGGAGGCAGCGAUGAGUUAAAGCGGUACUUUUCAUAGGAGGUGUGGAAGAAAUGUGAGAAAGAGGUGUCUUAGAUGAGAGGAGACGACUGGACUAUGUGGAUCAAGGGAGAAGAGUGAGUUGCUUGCUGCACAUUUUGCUUACGGAGCAUUAGUACAAGCUAUUCAAUUAAAGUAACUUUGGCUAAUUAGAUACUUCUGAAAGACCUCUGUCGCUAGAAGUGUCUUUUCCUUCAUUCACUUGUAGAAUGGGACAUCUAAGCAUCAUGCUUCUUCAUGCUCUGUUUUCAUGAUCAUACACUGUGCUGGUGUUCUUUAUUUGUUUUUAAAUGCAGAAGUGAUGCAGGCAUAAGCUGAUCCUGCACUGGGGUAAAUGUUGAGAUAUUAAGUAACUUAAUGUCUUACCUCUGUUUUCCUGUGGUCAUUUCCUUUUCACUUUGAGUCCCUUGACCCAAGUACAGUAGAAACAGUGAUUAAAAACAAGUGCACCUGCAGAGGCAGCUGCCAUAACUGCACUUGGAUUUGGCAGCAUGGACAGUGCUUCUAAAUGUGAGGGAAGAACAAGCAAUUGGCAUUCCAUGAUCAGUCUGAAACUUUCAGAGAGUCAUAGCAAUCUCCCCCGCUCCUAAAUAUGUACAUCUCGCAUCAGAAAACUCACUACAGUACAGUUACCAGAUGCUGAAUCAGCGUGAAGAAGAAACAGCCACACUGAAUGCAUAGAGGAAAAAUGGGUCACCUACCAUCAGUGAGCAUCAUGGCUCGCUGUCAGCUGAAAAUAUGGUUUGGGGCAUAGACAGUGAGUACAGCCAGAUGUCAUUUUUAAACACUGGCUCACUGUAUGCUGCCAACAAAUAAAAAGUCAUUUGAAUUUGAACUUCAAACUCAAUGGUUUUGGAAAUAAGCAAGGUGAGAACCUGCCUAUUUUGUAUGAGCUCCCUUUUGCUAAGCAUCCCUAGGGCUGCAGUUUUAGAGCCUGAAUGAGAGAAUCCAAAGCACCAGAGGGACAUAUUCUGUUGCAUCCUUAGUUUAUGGAAGUAGGGAGCUGCUCUUCUCUUUUUUUUUUUUGCACAUGGUAUCACUGCUCUGAUACGUAUAAUCAAUGCUAUGAGUUUUUGGAAUACAGUUUGUUUGUAACAGCAGCACAGCUGCUUUCUACUCCAUCUAGUUCCCUGUCAGUAGGCUGCUUCCUUUCAUGAUGGAAUGCACUUGUUGUUUUGAGCACCAGCAAACAGGAAAUUAGAGAAAGUGAACUGGACAAAUUGCAGACACUGUAAUUAUCUUUAUCUUUGAGCUCGUUGCAAACCAGCUGUCCCACCAGUCUGGUGAGAUGGCACAUCUUACAGCCAAGCUGAAAAUGAAGGAUGAAGGAGCACAAUUUGUCAGAGGAGGUGCAGAGAUCUUGGGGGACUCCAACAGUUAGCAGUUGUUUGACCAGCUAUUUUAAAAUUGACAUAGAUACCCAUUAUGAAGUUGAUGGUAACAGGAGGAGGAGCUCACUCAUCUCAUAGCGCUGAUUCUAUGAUUCUGUGUUAUUUGGAAAACAACCAAAACCACACCAAGACUGGACUGAACUCUUCUCUGACAUGAAUGGGCAGCACAGCUUGCAGAGAAUAACGCAGUCACAAAACCAUGGAGCUUCUUCUCUUUUGUGAGCUGAUUGUGCUCAAGAACACACACUAUACUAAUACACCAAGAACUGUCCUAACCAACCCUUCUUUGUCUCAGCUGUUACUUUUACCUUUCACAGUCAUGUCAAUGGAAUAUGUUUUAUAGUUCCAUUUCCUUGUUUUAAUCACCUGCUAGACAGCACAGAUGUCAGCUUGCAUUUCUUGCAUUGCAGAAGUACGAGAAUUGUUCCCCACUUACCUUCUCCAUGUUCACUGACUUAACAGUCUCUUUUUUGUGCCCCUGAUCAUCAUACAGGAUUCUUAGUUCUGAAGUUUCACCGUUAAGAUGGAUGGCCCAUAAUUACUGCAUACAGUGUUCAAGAGAAGGACAUAGGAGGAAAAAUAAAUAUCCAAAACCUAACAUGUAGAAAAGGACCAGUGCUACUCUAUAGCUUGACUUCCAUAGAGCAUGCACUGUUAUCUGAAAAGCGGAAAAUGUAUCCAGAUGGUAUAAUUCUUUUAAAAGAAUGUUUUCCUUUAUUUUAAAAAGAAUAUGACAGACUGUGUUUUAAAGAUUUGCAGCAUAAAUUCUUAAGAGUGGAAAAAAUGUUAUGUUAAUUUGGUCAUAGUUCUAAUGAUGAAGCUAAACAAACUUCUUUUCUCUCCAUCUUCUAUCUACCUGUCCAUGUUUAAUAAUGUAGUUCCUUGUUACCAAAGCACGAGAUCAGCUAUUGGUUAAUAACUUAAUGCUAACUCAAUUCUAAAGAGACUCCAUCCAUGUCAGAUAACCCACCUAGAAGAAAACUUUCCAGAAUAACUUUCUGAAGUAUUGGAGCCCUCGGUAAUUGUAAUUACAAAUGUAGUUCCUCUGACAGACCAAAGUAAACCCUGAACUCAAACAGGAAGGUUCUGACUGCUGUGUUGUAUGACAUCCAACUCUAGUUUGAAAUUUUUCUUGAUCUCCACCCCCCUCAAGAUUCAGAAUUUGGAUUAGUCGGUUUAGACACAGAGCUAGAAAAAUGCCACUUUUGUUAAUGAAAUUAAAAUAGCCCAUAAGCCGAAGAAGUAAGAAAGCAAAGAAUCUUCUUAUAAGGGGAUGGAAAUUGAUGCUAAAUUUACAUUUAUUUCAAUUUCUGAAGAAAAUAAAUACUGUCUUACCAUGUAUUAGGACUUUUGCUUAGUACGAAUUAUUUGUUGCUAUCUAAACAGGUUGAGUUGUGUGUUCUAGAAUACAAAAGUGACUUUGUUGUACAGUUUCAUCGGCCUGAUGAUUCUCUGCUGGAAAUCAGUGGAUGACUCAAAGCAAAGACAAAAGGCAGCCAAGUGUCAGACAGCAAAAGACAACACCGUUUUUCUUUCUUCAUGACAGCUGGGAUGAACAUUUGCAAGAUACGGAUCCAAAUGUUUCUGUACGUAAAACUGUUUGUCACCUGGUGAUCAGCUAUGCCUGUUUGUUACCAUGACCAAACAGUGAGUCCUCAUUUUGAUUCAUCAAGAACUUUGCCCUUUGUUGUGAACUAAAGUACUACUAAAACCUGACAGAGCAAGAACUAAGUUGUUCAAAAGGAUACUGAGUCAUGGUGCAGGAAACACUGAUUAUUAUGCCCAACUUGUUUUCACAUACAUGUGUGCAUGUGCAUAAUAGGUAGAUGUAAGCUCAUUGCUUGCCUUGCAAGGAACUGCUGUAUUUUGUAAGACACAUAGCAAGCAACUUCUCUUAUAUAGCAAGCAUAAUAAGUAAACUUCCCUUUGGUUUCAAUUUCUACAUCCAAAAUAUUUACAGGGACUAUUGAAAUCUGUCUAUCAACUCCUAGGCAAGGCCCUAGACAUUUUUCUAGCUGUUGCGUAAGAAACAACAAAUCUCAGUUUAUGUGGUGCAUGAGAGCUGGCACUGAUUUUCCUAGGAAGCACUGCAACUGUUCUGGUUUGGGCUGCGUUAGAGUUAAUUUUUCAUAGUGAGUGGUAUAUGUCCCUUAAAGAUAAUGCCUUUUCACAGUAUCUGUCUUAUUUUUAAAAGCAUUAAUUAAGAGGAAAGGCAGACAGCAGUAAAAGUAUGUCCACAAUUAACAUAGGAAAAUACUAAGCUCAUGUAAAAUGACUGUAGCGUGCUUUCUGUUGCUUUAUGAUGGAAAACAGAUCUGUACUAUCUGCACACAAAAAGGAGGAAAGCAUUAUUUAAAGUCUCUAAUAGCAUAUUAAGCUGGAGGAAAUUUUAAAUGAUUAGCCUAAUUAGUCUACUUCUUAACAAGGAUCAAGUAAGUUACUAAUGUAGAAAUGAGUAAGGCAGAAGGUUUGUACCUUCUAAGAAGCAUGGCUGCCCUUUAAGCUGCCAUCUGAAUCCACAGUCUCUCCUCUUAGAAUAAGGAAGUUAAGAUCUGGCACUGCUUCAGUUCAAUAAAAAACAAAAUAAUUUGGAUCUUGAUCCCCAAUUUAUCCUGUAGCUAUCUGAGAAAUUCUUUCCUUAUUAACAGAGAAAGAAGGAAGUAACUGUAGAAACUGCUUUAAGGCAGCUGCCUAGAAUUUUUCGUGGUAAUGAGCUCUGUUCAUAGACUUUAAAAAGUUUAAUUAAAUACAGAUGAAUGACAUUUCCUACUUUCGUAAAACUAUAGAUCGGCAUUUGUAAGAGCUCAUGAAGGCAUCCAGUCCUUGUCCUAAUUAGCCACGGUAGUUUAAAGCAAAAAAAAGUAGUGCUGGAGGGGGGGGAGGGGAUCUACUGUUGAUUUAUCAAUUAUGGUAUUUUCUAUUAUACCAAAAUGAUGCAGAAAGGCUUUGAAAUCCAUCAUCCCAAUGCCAGUUUCUGCAGUUAUGAAAAAAAUGCCUAUACUGACAACAAAGUCCAUUUCAUGCUCUUGUAUUCCACUUGACCUUCUAUCUUCUCAGUUUAAGGAUUGUGGCCUGAGGCCACCGCCGUGUCAGUCACCCACAUGUUAACUCUGGCAACAAACCAAGUAUUGAAUUCUUGCAGAAACGCCGAAAAGAUCGUUAGAAAAAAAGAAAAGCUUAUGUGUACAUACAUACUAUGGUAAGUCUACCUCAUGAGUCUCAUGCUGCACCUUUUGUGAGAUCUUCAGCAAAUAAAUGAAAUCUUAUGCAAAAGUUCACAUGUGGUUUAACGAAAUGUACAUAAAAACAAUUGUCUGCUUACUCACAAGGAGCACUUCUGGCUGCACUUUUGUCGAGAGAAUGAUUCUCAAUGGGCCCCAUGAAUCUCAGCCUGAGUGUUGGCUGAUACAAGAAGGUGAACAUGUAACACAAUGAGAUCUACUGCUGCACAGCUGCCUCCCAGCAGAGAAUGCAUUACAGUGCUCACGUGCGUUUGUAUGCUUGCAAACUCAGUCAGCUCAGUGGUAUUUGUUUUCUAUUAUCUAGAAGAGCAUUUGAGUGAGCAAACCCAGAAGGUGGGUUUGAGGACGGACCGGGCUGCAAGCUUCCAACCUGCGUAGUACAGAAGGACUCUCAGCAACUGGCCCAAGAGGAAACUGAAGAUGACUUGGUCCUGUGCUGUAGUAACAACACUUCACUGCUUUGGAAAAACAAUAAAAAGAAGAAAGAAAAAAGAAAGCAUUGAGAGUUCCAACACCAUAAAAAGAUAAGAAACAGAAUGUAUUUUGAGUGAAAGUGGAAAAGUCUUGUGUUACGCAACACAGUCAUGCAGAAAUCUCCAAAACAGGUGUGUUCAUAACAGCAUGGCACUGAGCAUGGAUUAAUUCAUUACAGCUGAGAUACUCCUAGGUUCUGAUUGGAAUAGUUUGUGGGUACAUCUUCUCACAGAUGUUCCAGCUCAGAUAUGUUACUGCCUCAGGCCUGCACUUGUACCAUUGGUUCUUGUGGUUUGGCUGAACUGGAGCAAGAGGAACAGAAAGACACAAGGAUUGUUUGCAAAGAAAAACAUAUAGAGGGGGAAAGUAGAAGCAGUUAAACAAAUAAAGAGGUAUUGAAGAGAAGGAAAAUCAAUGAGUCAUAAGUGAACAUGGACGAACUUUCAGAGGAAGUGAUGCAUGCAUGUAGAUGGAUAUUGGAUAUUACAUAGAGGGUAUUUCAAUGCUGGCAUUUGAUUUGAAAGAACAACCAGGCAGGUCCACUUUCUCUCCCUACUAAUUUACAUGAGAUUACUAACUCUCCUCUAAUUUGUAUUAGGACAUUUCAAAGCUCUGCGUGAUUUCCAAAGGCAAUUUGUGCCAAUGGGAAGGUAUACACACAGCAUAUGAAUGAGUACAAGGGAACUUGAUCAAAAUUCCAGUCUCAUGUAUUUUUUCUGAACACUUGCUGCACUCCUUUCAGAUCUGGAAAAUUGCAGGCUGACAUAUCUCUGGAUUUUUUAUGUUGUGCUUCUUUUCUCCUAAGAUCUACGCCCUACUGGUUCUGGGAAACUUGUGACCUCUGCAUUUUUAAUUAGAACUUGUAACAUUUUCCAUAGCAACAUAUUUUGAUGUCGCAAAUACAGAACCUGUCAAAUCAAACAAUUUCAAAGUGCAAAGCUACGGCCUUCUGGUCAAUUGAAGUCCAAGUACAUGAAAACACUGAGAUGCAAGGAAGACUGAAAAUUAUUUGUUGGUUAACUCAUAGCUUUGAUCUUCAUAAUUAAUAAAUCAGUACAGAUAUAAAAGAAUUACAUUGCAUGCUGGAGUGGUUUAGAUGAACUCAGUACUAAUUUCAUCGCACGUGAGAGCAGAUAGAAUCCAUCUGUCUGACUGGUGUGCCAGUACUAACAUGGUACAAAGGAGAGGAUCUAUUUCUAGGAAAUAGUCGAGAUGUGGAACAAACUUCACUCACAUGAUGAGCUGUGUGAGCAGGAAGUGAAGAAAACAGAAAUCCUCUGAAACGAGGCCUGAGCUCAGAUUUCAACAGACCCACAAUAUGAGCAGGAAUAAUAAUAAUGGGUUAAGAAAAGCAGUGUAACUUAGCACUUAAAUAUGUAUAUUAAAAAUAAGUCAUUUAUUUAUGAUACAUGCCCUGCAAGUGCCAAAUAAUACUUCUGUCAAGUCUGAAGAACAUAAACUGAGAAUUUUUGUCAUUCAGAUAUACUUAUCUUUCCUUUUCCUGCUUUAAGCUAAGACUAAUGGCCAAGGAAGUCAUAUUUUCCUGCCAUUACUAAGACUGCACAAGGUAAUUUGCCCCUCUGCAAGGACAUCCACGUGUAACUGUUAGUCACACCAGCAGCCACGAGAUAUGGAUAUGAUCAUCAAGUCUUAUUAAAACAAAUGCUGAAUACCAUGAACCUUUCAGGAGGAAAAGGCAAGUGUCAAUGUGGAAUGCGGUAAGAACUUUCUUGUUUCUGGUAGCAUUGGGUAUGUGACUGCUAUCCCUUUUCUUAUUCCAUCUAUUUCCACUUUUUACAAAAAAAAGCAAAAAACAAAAAAACAACCCAAAACAACCCAACCCACUGGAAUAUUAAGUUAGUAUUAAGUUAAAUGUGGUAUGUUUUAACCUUGCAUUGCAGAUAAGGAAUUCCUGGAGUUCCUCAAUCCUGCAUGAUUGCAGGCAGCUCACCUGAGUGUGCAUAAGGGAAAGGGGAACAAAAAUAUAAGAUUUUUCUGUUUCCUACCAAUUAUCUGAUAUUUCCCCUCUACUGUCUUUGGUGUAAAAGAAAACCAAAGUUCAGCCUUCUAGGAAAUGUAUUCUGGUAACCUGAAAGACUUUAUAAAUAGAGUGCACAAAUAGAUGACAGUAAUUCCAUGACAUAGAUUUUCUGCUUUAGAAUGAAAUGCUUCAUUUGAAAAAGCUCCUAAAAUUGUUAGAACAGUAAUUAAAAAAAAAAAAAAAAGUUUAAACUCCACAAUUGAAUACAAAAAACGUUGCUGUGAAGGUUUUGAUUUCCAAGAAAUCCAUUUUAAACUUAUUUACAAAGUUUACAUAGAAGAAUAGAUCUGCUGCUAUCUAUAACAUUCACUUCUGUAGUAGAACAGCUAAUUUGCGACUAUUGGAUGAGAGAUACAGAAAGAGUCACUUUAGUGAAAGAAAAAAAAAACAUAUUAUUUUAAGGACAAAUAGUAAAAAAUGAUUGUUUUGGAGUUUAGAGAAACAGAGUUUGAAGGAUUUUGCCCUCCAAUGCAGACUGCUCAUGCUUAUGCUGUAGCAAAGGAGGAGCAUCUUGACUACAAGAGUCUUAGUGGAAGAAAACUGGCAAUGCCUUUAUAAAAAUGUAUUUAAUUUCUGUGUUUGCAGUUUUCCCAGCUUCAUCCCUAGGUCCUGGCCUCAAGGGCCCUAGAGAUGUCACAGUUUUAAACAGUCUUAUAAAUCUAGGAGGGGAAAUGAGCUGUCUCUCAUCUUAAACAGAGAGCCUUGGAGAAUGUCUAUGGGGCUUUACCAAUGGAGCUGCCGAAAACAAAGCUAUGAUUCAGGGGUCUCUGACCUUUCCCAGCCCUCCUCCACCAGUGUCAGCCUGCAGCCUGCUCUUUAAAAGUUUCUGCUCACCCAGGGAGCAAAAUUAGAAAUCUUCUCCAGGGACAAUUUUUCUUCCAUCAAGCCACUCAUCAGCCCACUGAGGCAUGGAAACCAAAAAGGAAAAAGUGAGUUAAAAGAAUGUAUGUCUCUUGGUAAGGAUUUCCCACAGCAGAGUGUAAGUGUCCAGACUACCUCAUCAGCAGAGUCCCAGCCUUUACUAUACGUCUUGGUAUUCAGUCUGUACUGUAGUGGUAUAGAAAAGUGCCAAGCACUGUGCAGGUGAUGCAUGCAUCAAUACAGCAGAUGUGGAGGUGUGUUUGAACUGCUUAACAUCAGCACUUACCAAAUGUUGAAGACACUCUAGCCCCUACGACAAAUAAAAGCAUUCAUUCAGAUGUGCAUGGCAUUUCAGGAAUGGAAUCAUUAUUAUCUUCUCCGAAAAUGUUUUGUCUUAUGUUUAAUAUAAUAUAAUAUAUAUUGCUUAUUGGAAACAAAUCCUUGUUAGUCUCGUUGUUUGUUUGUUUCCUAAUUGUGGAUUACCACAGAACAGGGUACAGUUCAUAAAUACCUCAAAUAUCUGAAAGGUGAUUGCAGCAGAGCAGGGCUGCUAUCUUCUCACUGGUGGCAGGAUGAGGAGAAAUGGCCUCAGGCUGCACCAGGGGAGGUUUAGGUCGGAUAUCAGGAAGAAUUUCUUUACAGAAAGGGUUGUUAAGCUCUGGAAUGGGCUCCCCAGGGAGGUGUUGAGUCACCAUCCCUGGAUGUGUUUAAAAUCCAUCUGGAUGUGGUGCUCAGGGACAUGAUUUAGUGGAGGGUUGUUAGAGUUUGGGUAGUAUGGUUGGGUCUUGAUUGGACUCAAUGAUCUUUAAGGUCUUUUCCAAGCAAAUUCUAUGAUUUCCGGAGCAAUUCUAUGAUUCUGUCAUUUAAUAUGGAGAAAAUUCAAGUAAACUAAAAAUCAGAUUUAAAAGAUAACCUGGUGCAAUGUACUUUUAUUUAUUAAUUUGUUUAUUUUUAUUCCCCAGGCCUUUUUAAAGUUAACCCUAGGAAACACCCCACGUUGGCGACUCCUUGUAAUUCAUGUCAAUGUUCUUUCAGCAGCACAGUUGCUGCUUCCACGCCGUGAGCAUCUCCUGUAUUUGCUUUAGAACUGCUUCCUGCUGAUGCGUUAAGCACAGGAAGUGAAAGGUUGGUCCCAAAAUGUCUUCUGAGUGCAAAGGAGAAGCCUGCUGGGGCUGGGGCUGCAUGCAAGUCACAAUACUUUUCCUUGAAUAAUCACCUGAAGCACAGCUCUUAGAAACCAUUGUACUGCAGCAAGUAGCUGCUAUUUUUCUGCACCCUUUUUUUUCUGUGCUUUCAGUGGCAGUUGUAGGUAUCUCACAUGGCCAGCUGCUCUCUGUUCAC
rnacentral:lncRNA from 1 species